GUUCCAUCGACGAGUCUGAAGUUGAAGCUGUUUAUGAAGUUCGUAAGACUCCGACGGUUAAAUUUUAGAAUGUGUGUCUAACUUUUGAACCGGUAGAGGAAUUACUAUCACCUGAAGCCUCCUUUGAGCUUCGUCAACCGCGGGUAACUAAAGUUGAGUCACUGCAAAACUACUCUCCCGGGGAUAAUGAAGUGUUGGAAGAUGCUGGAGUGUCUCAGGAAGCAGAAUUGUUGUUCUUACGAGAUGUUGACAAUAUUGGAGUAGAAGAGAAUUUUCCGAAGCUGAAAAGAGAUUUUGAGUGUCUGACAAAAGAGCUAGCAGUAACAAAGAGGGAGUUGUGGGAGCUCAAGAAGGAGAAUAAUCAAAAAAGUUGUGAAUGUCAACAACCUUUGAACUCCCUAAAGGAGGUUCAGAACGAGCUAAUGCGCAAGUCGAUGCACGUGGGAUCUUUAGAUUCUGUAUUAAAUGGGAAGUGAAGCUUUUAGAUAUUAAGGGCGGGAAUGCAUGAAUGUAACUCCGGAUCUGCUCAUCUUGUAAAUGUCGAGGUUGAUUCAAUGGGAGGUGUUGUGGAUGGCGGAGUUGGUAUAGGUUUGAAAACCUCUCCGCGCCGAGCAGCAAUUGAGAAGGCUCAAGCAGAGCUCAGUUGAUGGGAAGCAGAAAACCUUUGUGUACUUGCACUUUUUUAUUGUUUGUUUCAGGCAUCAGUAUACUCUUAUGCAUUAAGAAUAACUCAUCCUCUUUGUUAGCAGACAGGGGUACGGUGUUCGUGAAAUAGAAGGAUCUAAUGAUGGUCCUGACAAUGACAUCUUAUGCAAUUUAUUUUCUAAUGAUACAUGCCUUGAGCUUCCUCACCAGUCAGCUAAGCUUUUUGUUCAAGAUGCUAUAACGUUCAAUGCUCAGAGAACUUCACGUCCUUACAAAUGGGCUCAGCACCUGGCAGGGAUUGAUUUCUUGCCUGAGGUGUCUCCAUUGCUCCCCACUGACAACAGUGAAGUAGCAAGGAGCAAAGAUGUUAUAUCUGGUCUCUCAUUAUAUCGCCAACAGAACCGAGUACAGACACUGCAAAAAAUCCGCUCAAGGAAAAAAGCUCAGUUGGCUCAUCUGUGAGUCACGGCUCUAGCAUGUUUACAGUUUUAGAAACUCCACUUAAUAUGGAGAUUUACCAAAGCGGUUACUUUUUGGUUUUUUAUACUAUUCAAAUUUUAGGUUCUCAUUUGAUUUUUAAGUUUACUAAUUUUUGUUUGUUGAUUUACAUAUUCAUUUGAUUUUUAAGUUUAAUAAUUUUUGUUUGUUGAUUUACAUAUUUGUUUGUUGAUAACUAAGAAAAAUAAAAUAACUGCAUGAUCCUUAUGUUUUUGUGAGAGUUUUUUGUGAGAGUGUGUAUGUGAGAUUAUCAAUAUGAGUGUUUUUCAAUAAGAAAUUAAAUGUGGCAAAUCCCUAUGCAAUGAGAUUUCGGACCAUAAUGUGAAAGGAUGUUUUUUCAUCCAUGAUAUCUUAACUUAUAUAUAGAUUUGGUUACUUUAGAUUGAUAGUCAUUUGAAAAAUUGUUGUUCCAUUUGAUCACAUGAAAUGGGUUGUUGUUUAGUUGGAGUUACUUUCUCUAUUUAUUUAUGGGCAAUACUUAAUAUAACUGUUUAAUUUUUUUCUUAUGACAUGAGUAAUGCUAUCACAUUUUGCAGUUGACAAUACUUGGGACAUUUCAAUUUGAUUUAUUUUUGUCAUUUAGCAAAAAUAAUGCACUUCGUGACAAUUUUUUUGGGAUCAAUUCUACAAAAAUGUGAGAGGGUUGGUGUCUUUUUUUCUCUAAUUUUGGACCGUGUGUA